UAAAGCUAAAGUCAUUGUGGAAGAGAUAGAGCACAGAAGCUGUGGUUGCUGUGAUCCCGGCCCUCACACAUCCAGGUCACAGUUUUCUAAUUCAUCACAGCGAACUGUGCUCGCUGAGGCCUCACAGAUGGCUGACAGGCGAGGUAAUGGAGGGCCUCUUCCAUCUAAAUGCCAACCAAUGCCAACGUGGGCAGAGUAUUUACCUGCUAAACCAUUACACGGCAGGUGUAAUACUCUUUGGCGAAAGAGACCAAAUGAGACAACACAGCUUGCCAAGGACUGACUUCAGCUUGUACCAAGCAAUACUCUCAUUUGUGAAUGUUGGAGGAGUACACUGGAAACUACUGUGAAUUCCUGAAGAUGAGAAAGAUCUGCCACGCAAAGAAUGACUGAAGGAGUAUAAAGUGGAGAGGAGCCACCAUGCCCCAUCCUCUUCAACAGGACAGCAGUAGUUGUGGGGUCAUCGUCACCAUGAUGGCGAAGGCAGUGAUGGAGGCAUUUCCAGCAUUGCCACUCAUGUCCUUUGGGACAUCCAAGAAGGAGAUGGCUAAUGCGAGGACUAAGUUUGGACUUGGAUUACUCAGUGGUUCAGUGUUUGACAUGGACAACCACUGUGCAAUGUGCUCUGCCUCGAUGCCCAGGAUCAGGGCCUUCAACUACUGAUUGGAUAAUGUGUGACACAUGCCAGAGGUGGUACCAUGAGCAGUGUCUGGGGAUGAGUAAAGACCAACUCCUACAAGCAAGGGCAAGCAAGUGGGAUUGUGUCCUUUGCAAUUAGGACAUUUUAUCUUGUGGAGACAUGUACAAAAAGAAAAAGUACCAAGUUCAUUGAAUAAAAAACUAUUACAGUAUCCAUCGAUGUAG
ensembl:lncRNA